rnacentral:rRNA from 1 species
CCUACGGGAGGCAGCAGUGAGGAAUAUUGGUCAAUGGACGAGAGUCUGAACCAGCCAAGUAGCGUGAAGGAUGACUGCCCUAUGGGUUGUAAACUUCUUUUAUAUGGGAAUAAAAUGUUCCACGUGUGGGAUUUUGUAUGUACCAUAUGAAUAAGGAUCGGCUAACUCCGUGCCAGCAGCCGCGGUAAUACGGAGGAUCCGAGCGUUAUCCGGAUUUAUUGGGUUUAAAGGGAGCGUAGGUGGAUUGUUAAGUCAGUUGUGAAAGUUUGCGGCUCAACCGUAAAAUUGCAGUUGAAACUGGCAGUCUUGAGUACAGUAGAGGUGGGCGGAAUUCGUGGUGUAGCGGUGAAAUGCUUAGAUAUCACGAAGAACUCCGAUUGCGAAGGCAGUUCACUGGACUGUAACUGACACUGAGGCUCGAAAGUGUGGGUAUCAAACAGGAUUAGAUACCACGGUAGUC